rnacentral:rRNA from 1 species
CUACGGGGCGCAGCAGUGAGGAAUAUUGGACAAUGGGGGCAACCCUGAUCCAGCCAUGCCGCGUGAGUGAUGACGGCCUUAGGGUUGUAAAGCUCUUUCAGUAGUGAAGAUAAUGACGGUAACUACAGAAGAAGCCCCGGCUAACUUCGUGCCAGCAGCCGCGGUAAUACGAAGGGGGCUAGCGUUGUUCGGAAUCACUGGGCGUAAAGCGCGCGUAGGCGGACUUUUAAGUCAGGGGUGAAAUCCCGGGGCUCAACCUCGGAACUGCCUUUGAUACUGGAAGUCUUGAGUUCGAGAGAUGUGAGUGGAAUACCGAGUGUAGAGGUGAAAUUCGUAGAUAUUCGGUGGAACACCAGUGGCGAAGGCGGCUCACUGGCUCGAUACUGACGCUGAGGUGCGAAAGCGUGGGGAGCAAACAGGAUUAGAUACCCGGGUAGUC